rnacentral:rRNA from 1 species
UGGGCGGCAGGCCUAACACAUGCAAGUCGGACGGUAGCACAGAGGAGCUUGCUCUUCGUCGGUGACGAGUGGCGGACGGGUGAGUAAUGUCUGGGAAACUGCCUGAUGGAGGGGGAUAACUACUGGAAACGGUAGCUAAUACCGCAUAACGUCGCAAGACCAAAGAGGGGGACCUUCGGGCCUCUUGCCAUCAGAUGUGCCCAGAUGGGAUUAGCUAGUAGGUGGGGUAACGGCUCACCUAGGCGACGAUCCCUAGCUGGUCUGAGAGGAUGACCAGCCACACUGGAACUGAGACACGGUCCAGACUCCUACGGGAGGCAGCAGUGGGGAAUAUUGCACAAUGGGCGCAAGCCUGAUGCAGCCAUGCCGCGUGUAUGAAGAAGGCCUUCGGGUUGUAAAGUACUUUCAGCGGGGAGGAAGGUGUUGUGGUUAAUAACCGCAGCAAUUGACGUUACCCGCAGAAGAAGCACCGGCUAACUCCGUGCCAGCAGCCGCGGUAAUACGGAGGGUGCAAGCGUUAAUCGGAAUUACUGGGCGUAAAGCGCACGCAGGCGGUCUGUCAAGUCGGAUGUGAAUCCCCGGCUCACCUGGAACUGCAU